rnacentral:miRNA from 1 species
AUAUCUGUGUGUGUAUAUGCAUGUGCAUGUGUAUAGAAAUGCACAUGCAUGCACACACACACACACACACACACACACACACACACACACACA